rnacentral:rRNA from 1 species
GGUUGCGCACAUACCAGCACUAAUGCACCGGAUCCCAUCAGAACUCCACAGUUAAGCGUGCUUGGGCGAGAGUAGUACUAGGAUGGGUGACCCCUUGGGAAGUCCUCGUGUUGCAACCC